AGCAGGUCCACCAUUUUCCAUGUUGUACUUAAUUCCAAAAUCCUCAUGAGGGCCACCUGGGUUGUGACUUGCUGUCAAUAUAAAUGCCCCAGUAGCUUUAGAACCAUCAGCCCCGACUCUCUCACGAACAACAGCUGAUACAGCAGGAGUGGACAAAAGUCCAUUUUGACCAAUCCAAACACGUCUUACUCCAUUUGCUGCUGCCAUUUUUGUAAUGAUCUGGAUAGCAUCCUUUGAAUAGUAUCGGCCAUCACCAGAAACCACAAGUGUAGCACCUUCAACUCUGUCAGCUCCAAGUGCAUUGAAUGUUGCCUGGACAAAAUUUUGCAAGUAAUGAGGUUGUAUGAACACCUUCACCUUCUUGCGGAGACCGGAAGUACCAGGCUUCUGUCCUUCAAAUGGCGUAGUUUCGACGCGAGAAACCUUGAAAUUUGCCAUUUUCUUCAAUCUGAAGAUUUGGAAAGAUGAGUUAGUGAUGGAUGUGUGUGGAGCUUCG
rnacentral:misc_RNA from 1 species